AUCAAGUAGAAGUGAAAACAGAGAGAGGGCUCUCCAAGGUUCCUUGAUGAAAACUAAAGCCCACUGGAAAAGUGAAAAUUACUGCAAUAAAGGCACACCAGACCACUGUAGUUGGGCUCCUGCAAGUUCCUGAUUUGCACUGUGCUCUGCUGUCACCUGCUGGUCAUCCAAGAAAAGACAGACGUAUACCGCCCCACAUGGUCAGUACUGGAAACCCAGCAAGAUGCCAAUAAGCUAUGAACGCUUAGUUCCUGAAUAAAUUCUCAUCAGCUGCUCGGAUUUAACCUUCAGUCACCUUAUGACCCAAGCCCUCUCCUAGGGAGGCACUGAAGCUGACUCUGAAGCUGUCAAGGUGAGAGAGUGACAGGGUUUGCCCCCAGCAGCUCCAGUGCCAGCAACACUGUACAGGGGUGCCCAGUGCUGAGAACAUCAGAGACUCCUUAGGCCGAGGGCAAGGAAUAGGAGUCAGCCAGCCCACUUGGGGUAGGAACAGAGAUAGCAGUGGACACUUCCUGGAGAAGCAGCUGUGGAAGUGACCCAGCGGAUUGCCAGAAUACACAGCAGGUGCUGCUUUGUGUGGCUUAAGGAUGGCUGGACCACGGCCUGCAGUUGCCCCAAAGCCUUGGCCUGUAGGAGAGAGCAGUGAUGGAUAUCUAAAUUCUGCAGAUCCAGGGGCCACCAAUGGAGAGGAAAGUGAACACCCAGUAGUGGAGCUGUACAAACUGAUUAAAGAAGAGACAAAGAAAGUUGGCGAGUACAAAGAAAGCAUAAGCCAAAAAUAAUGGAACUACCAUAGGAAAUGACCAGUAUGGACAUGGGAGAAGAAAGAAAAUAUUGAAAGAGCUGACCAAAGAAGUUCAAAACAUGAGUGACAAAUUGAUCAAAGAUCGAGACUCCACAAAAAAGGUGUCAGAGAGAAGUACUGGAGAUAAAAAAAACUGUAGGGCUCAUAAAUUUCAGAAAUGACCAAUGUGAAGACAGGGAUUCUGAAACUGAAGGCACAUGGUCAAUUACUCAGAGAAGC
ensembl:lncRNA